rnacentral:rRNA from 1 species
AUGAACGCUGGCGGCGUGCCUAAUACAUGCAUGUCGAGCGAACAGACGAGGAGCUUGCUCCUCUGACGUUAGCGGCGGACGGGUGAGUAACACGUGGAUAACCUACCUAUAAGACUGGGAUAACUUCGGGAAACCGGAGCUAGUACCGGAUAAUAUAUUGAACCGCAUGGUUCAAUAGUGAAAGACGGUUUUGCUGUUACUUAUAGAUGGAUCCGCGCCGCAUUAGCUAGUUGGUAAGGUAACGGCUUACCAAGGCAACGAUGGGUAGCCGACCUGAGAGGGUGAUCGGCCACACUGGAACUGAGACACGGUCCAGACUCCUACGGGAGGCAGCAGUAGGGAAUCUUCCGCAAUGGGCGAAAGCCUGACGGAGCAACGCCGCGUGAGUGAUGAAGGUCUUCGGAUCGUAAAACUCUGUUAUUAGGGAAGAACAAAUGUGUAAGUAACUAUGCACGUCUUGACGGUACCUAAUCAGAAAGCCACGGCUAACUACGUG